rnacentral:rRNA from 1 species
UACGUAGGGUGCAAGCGUUAAUCGGAAUUACUGGGCGUAAAGCGUGCGCAGGCGGUUUUGUAAGUUUGUCGUGAAAUCCCCGGGCUCAACCUGGGAAUGGCGAUGAAGACUGCAAGGCUAGAAUCUGGCAGAGGGGGGUAGAAUUCCACGUGUAGCAGUGAAAUGCGUAGAGAUGUGGAGGAACACCGAUGGCGAAGGCAGCCCCCUGGGUCAAGAUUGACGUCACUGCACGAAAGCGUGGGGAGCAAACAGG